rnacentral:rRNA from 1 species
UCCUUCUUGUGCAAGCGUUAUCCGGAUUUACUGGGUUUAAAGGGUGCGUAGGCGGAUUUGUAAGUCCGAGGUGAAAUCUCCGAGCUUAACUCGGAGACUGCCUUGGAUACUAUAAGUCUUGAAUGACGUUGAGGUUAGCGGAAUAUGUCAUGUAGCGGUGAAAUGCUUAGAUAUGACAUAGAACAUCUAUUGCGAAGGCAGCGAACUAAGCGUAUAUUGACGCUGAUGCACGAAAGCGUGGGGAUCAAACAGG